GAGCUCGUAGGCGGUUUGUCGCGUCUGCUGUGAAAGACCGGGGCUCAACUCCGGUUCUGCAGUGGGUACGGGCAGACUAGAGUGCAGUAGGGGAGACUGGAAUUCCUGGUGUAGCGGUGAAAUGCGCAGAUAUCAGGAGGAACACCGAUGGCGAAGGCAGGUCUCUGGGCUGUAACUGACGCUGAGGAGCGAAAGCAUGGGGAGCGAACAGGAUUAGAUACCCUGGUAGUCCAUGCCGUAAACGUUGGGCACUAGGUGUGGGGGACAUUCCACGUUUUCCGCGCCGUAGCUAACGCAUUAAGUGCCCCGCCUGGGGAGUACGGCCGCAAGGCUAAAACUCAAAGGAAUUGACGGGGGCCCGCACAAGCGGCGGAGCAUGCGGAUUAAUUCGAUGCAACGCGAAGAACCUUACCAAGGCUUGACAUGGACCGGAAAGACCUGGAAACAGGUGCCCCGCUUGCGGCCGGUUUACAGGUGGUGCAUGGUUGUCGUCAGCUCGUGUCGUGAGAUGUUGGGUUAAGUCCCGCAACGAGCGCAACCCUCGUUCUAUGUUGCCAGCGGUUCGGCCGGGGACUCAUAGGAGACUGCCGGGGUCAACUCGGAGGAAGGUGGGGACGACGUCAAAUCAUCAUGCCCCUUAUGUCUUGGGCUUCACGCAUGCUACAAUGGCCGGUACAAAGGGUUGCGAUACUGUGAGGUGGAGCUAAUCCCAAAAAGCCGGUCUCAGUUCGGAUUGGGGUCUGCAACUCGACCCCAUGAAGUCGGAGUCGCUAGUAAUCGCAGAUCAGCAACGCUGCGGUGAAUACGUUCCCGGGCCUUGUACACACCGCCCGUCAAGUCACGAAAGUUGGUAACACCCGAAGCCGGUGGCCUAACCCUUGUGGGGGGGAGCCGUCGA
rnacentral:rRNA from 1 species